AUGUGGGGCUUCGCCGUUUCCAUUUUCUGCCUCGUCACCGUAUCAGCAGCUGCCCAGGACUCAGGGAAUUAUGCAAACUGUUACCACAUCACCACAGGAACCAUAACUGGAAUUGUUGUUGGAGAUAUUGUCCUCACUGUGCUCCUCCUGAUUCCCGUCUAUUACUGCAUCCGUCCGAAAGACAGCAGAACAAGUGAAAGAACAGAUUAUGUAAACAUGAUCGGAAAAUCUAUAUGACGUCACUUCCCAUUUGGAUCCGAUCUUCAAGAUCUAUAUGAACACGACUGGAAUGACCACUGUGUACAAAACAGACAAUAGCGUGUAUUUAUGUGUUUGCAGGUUGAGAUAUUAGGGGGGAAUCCUCCUUGUGGGGGCAACAAAUCCCCCAUAGCCAAAGAUUUUGGUCUUUUAUAUAUUGGAAGUGAAUGCUGAUGUUUUCCUGUUUUGCAGAGAUGGAAACUGGUCCCAUAGAUCCUUCAUUUCUAUACCUUACUUGCCUAUAUCAGUUCCCAGUGUGUAACAGCUACCUAGCAGCUGGCCUGCAAAUCCCAUCAUCCUUGCUCAUGCUGACAGGGGAUAGUGAGAACAGUAGUCCAGAGACAGCUUUGGGGUGGAGGGAGUCUGUUCUUAAAAGAAAUUCCUGGAGCAUGAUUUGAUAGCUGCAGCCUGUGGGCUAAAAAUGUGCACUUUAAAAAGCACAGAAAAUUGCCACUUUGUUAAUUGGAAAACUAUGCUUCCGUACAUUUGCAAACAUGUAUAUAAAAUGCAUGGA
rnacentral:lncRNA from 1 species